UAACGCGAAGAACCUUACCAGGGUUUGACAUGGGAACGCCGCGGCGAGAGAUCGCCGUUUUGUAGCAACGCAACGUUCCGCACAGAUGCUGCAUGGCUGUCGUCAGCUCGUGCCGUGAGGUGUUCGGUUAAGUCCGGCAACGAGCGCAACCCGUGCCGCCAGUUACCAUCGGGUGAAGCCGGGGACUCUGGCGGGACCGCCAUGUCAAGUGGGAGGAAGGCGCGGACGACGUCAAGUCCGUAUGGCUCUUACAUUCAGGGCUGCACACGUGCUACAAUGGCGUAUACAGAGCGACGCGAGGCCGCAAGGCGGAGCAAAUCGCACAGAGUACGCCCCAGUUCAGAUCGGGGUCUGCAACCCGACCCCGUGAAGUCGGAUUUGCUAGUAAUCGCGGAUCAGCAUGCCGCGGUGAAUACGUUUCCGGGUCUUGUACACACCGA
rnacentral:rRNA from 1 species